UGGGGAAUAUUGCACAAUGGGCGAAAGCCUGAUGCAGCAACGCCGCGUGAGUGAAGAAGGUUUUCGGAUUGUAAAGCUCUGUCAUCUGGGACGAUAAUGACGGUACCAGAUAAGAAGCCACGGCUAACUACGUGCCAGCAGCCGCGGUAAUACGUAGGUGGCAAGCGUUGUCCGGAAUUACUGGGCGUAAAGGGUGCGCAGGCGGACAUUUAAGUGAGAUGUGAAAUACCCGGGCUUAACCCGGGCAGUGCAUUUCAAACUGGGUAGUCUGAGUGCAGGAGAGGAGAACGGAAUUCCUAUGUAGC
rnacentral:rRNA from 1 species